rnacentral:rRNA from 1 species
AUUGAACGCUGGCGGCAUGCUUUACACAUGCAAGUCGAACGGUAACAGGGAGCUUGCUCCGCUGACGAGUGGCGAACGGGUGAGUAAUAUAUCGGAACGUACCCAAGAGUGGGGGAUAACGUAGCGAAAGUUACGCUAAUACCGCAUACGAUCUAUGAAUGAAAGCAGGGGACCUUCGGGCCUUGUUCUCCUGGAGCGGCCUAUAUCUGAUUAGCUAGUUGGUGAGGUAAAGGCUCACCAAGGCGACGAUCAGUAGCUGGUCUGAGAGGACGACCAGCCACACUGGAACUGAGACACGGUCCAGACUCCUACGGGAGGCAGCAGUGGGGAAUUUUGGACAAUGGGCGCAAGCCUGAUCCAGCAAUGCCGCGUGAGUGAAGAAGGCCUUCGGGUUGUAAAGCUCUUUUGUCAGGGAAGAAACGGCAGAGGCUAAUAUCCUUUGCUAAUGACGGUACCUGAAGAAUAAGCACCGGCUAACUACGUGCCAGCAGCCGCAGUAA